UCUUAUUCAUUACCCUUACCUUAUAAGUCCUUCGAAAAUUUUGAUUAAAACUACUUAGCAAAAAAUACAGAAUAAUAUACACUCAUUAAGUAAAUAUUUUGAUGAUAUUAUUGUUUAAACAACCUUAUUUAACUGGCUAAUAACAAAUAUUAGGAACAUGGCAACCUUAUUUAAGUGAAUUCAAUUAUUUAGCUAGCCGUUAAAAUAAAAAUGGACAUAAACAAAUCUUGUUACAUUACAAUUGAAGAAGAUAUCGAAAUAAAGAAUAAAAAAAAAAUGUACUCCCAGCCAUGAAUUUUAAUAAACGUUUAAUAAACUGAUUUUUGCACACUAGGGCUUCUAUUCGUUUCAGCCAUGAAUACGAAAGAUGCGUCAGUCCUCCUUCGGUGGACUGAAUUUAUGUGUUGUUUGUUUCAAUAACCAAUACAUGGGCGUGCGCAGAGUUUUCAUAACUGAACAAAGGUUAAUGCGACAAAGUUGUCAAAUUGUUUUGAAAGAAUUCCUUGGAUUGGGAAUCAAUUGUUUGUCCCCCACCGAAGGAGGACUGAAUUUAUGUGUUGUUUGUUUCAAUAACCAAUACAUGGGCGUGCGCAGAGUUUUCAUAACUGAACAAAGGUUAAUGCGACAAAGUUGUCAAAUUGUUUUGAAAGAAUUCCUUGGAUUGGGAAUCAAUUGUUUGUCCCCCACCGGUUAGGUUAACCUAACCUAACCUAACCGAAUUUGGUGUCACCUUGUACGUAUGAUUCGGAUCUGAAAUCGAUUAAUUUAUGAUUGUUGAGGACAAAGGUAGAUUUAUAUGGAUUGAAAAGUCCAUAUACGACAAUAAUUAAAACACCCUUAAAUGUAUGUGCAACUGCUACGGGCCUGGAAGUUUGUCUUACAGACGUACGAAAUACAUUUUCAGUUGUGACUUACCGGCAUCUGUUGAUAUUUACUAUCUUCAAAUUGGAUAAUAUAUAGUAUUAUUGUUAUUAAUGAUAAUACUACAAUUGAAAGUAACAUUAAAUUCCGUAUUUCUGUAUAUUAAUUUAUUCAAUUUAUUUGAAUCUUGAGUAUAGUUGCUUAUUAUUUUGUAUUAUUCAAAUAAGUUUUAUCUGGGAUAGAACAUAUUAAAAAUAAACAUAUACUGCAAAUUAU